CCAAACUUGGUCAUUUAGAGGAAGUAAAAGUCGUAACAAGGUAACCGUAGGUGAACCUGCGGUUGGAUCAUUAAUAAAUUUAAUAAAUGGAAGCCAAGAAUUUGAAAAAACUCUUGGUUAUUUCAUUUUAACCCAACAAAUGUGCACUUAUUUAUUGUAUUUUUUGGUAAAGGUGUGGGGUCCUCCCAUUUAAAAUCUCUUCUAAAUGAAGAGGCCUUGCCAAAAUUCGAAGGGUUCCCUUCCCUUCAAAAAAACGCCCUAUUGAAAAACUUGUCUAUAUAACCUUUUUUUUAUAUAUUAAAUAAAAAAACAACUUUUGACAACGGAUCUCUAGGCUCUCGCAUCGAUGAAGAACGCAGC
rnacentral:misc_RNA from 1 species